CAAAAAAGCAUACUUUCUUAUUGUGAAUUCCCAAGAAUCUGAUAGACAGGCAGGUUUCUCUGGGUGUGACAUGACAUAAGGAUGAAGGAGUGUUUCUGCAAACUGUCCUAAUACUGUUUUUAUGGCAUCAAAGAGUCAAGAUAAUCCUCCCCAGCAUUUACAUGCACACACACACAGACACAGACAGGCAGACACACACACAUGAAUACACAUCAAUUUUGUGUGUAACGCUUCUCUAGUCUUUCCUUCAGUGAAACCUAUUACUCAGUGUUUCCUAUUUUUAUUCUAGAAAUCCCAUCAGCCAUCUGAAAAGUCUGGCAUACAACUUGCAAUCUGCCAUUUUUAAAAUGGAUCAAUGUUAUUUUAUUAAUAUUGGCAAAGGCUCAUAUGUGGGCAAACCAGAAUGAGAAAGAGUUAACAGUCACUAGAAAUUUGGUUCCGGGAAAUGGGUUUUCUUCUCAUCUUCUUAUAUAGUUCAAAGAACCCAGUCUCAACGUGAUAAGUCCCAAGAUUUGAGAACUAUUUAGGAGCAAACUUGUUUGAUGCCCACAAAUAUCACGAAUAGGUUUGUAAUUCCCAUAUCUCAAAGUAUACUUUUUAGUCUUUAUCCACCUCCGUGUAAUGUGUCUCCUACUACUAAUGCUUACAAAUCCCAGGCUGGAGACGGAGUUAAUUGCCUGAGUUCUCCGUGUAAUAUCUUCACAACCGUGCCCCGGAGAUAUUUUAAAUUUAGUGUGAGCCAAACUAACUCAUCUCCAUCUUUCAAUCUUUCUCCCAUUCCUAAAAGAGUUGUUAAAACCUGCCCUUUUCUGUACCUGCUUGUCUUUGGCAAUAGCAUGUUUGUUUUUCUGAACUACUCUUCAAUCCUGUUUCUAUUUAUCUUUCGUCUUACUCUCAUAAUUCAACCCUCCUCUCCACCCCCAAAGCUGUUUUUCAUUUAUGCCUUAUGAAUUCCCUCCCAUCUCCUUUUCUCUCUCUCUCCCCUUUCCUUCCUUCCCUCCUUCCUUCCCUCCCUCCCUCUCUCUUUCUUCUUCCUUCCUUCCUUCCCUCUUUCCCUUCCUCCCUCCCUCACUCCCUUACUCCCACUUUGUCUUGCUUGCUUGCUUGCUUUUCUCACUACGUUUCCCAGGCUCGAGGGCAGUGGCACAAUCAUAGCUCCCUACAACCACCAACUCCCGAGCUCAAGCGAUCCUCGUGCCUCAGCCUCUGGAAUAGCUGUGAGUACAGGCGUUAAGACACCACGCCAGCUAGGGACCCAUAUGAAAAAAUGCUGAGUGCACUGCUCUCAGGUUUUAUUCUGAUUAUGGCUUUCCUCCACCAAAUCUUACCCUUGAUAUUCCUAUUGAGUAAACAACAAAUAUGAAGCAUUUUAGUCAGGGAAAGGCUGAAUUUCAAUGGCUUUGUGUCAUAUCUGGAAGAAAUCAAAAGAAACGAAAACCAGAACUUGAUUCUUGCCAAGCAUAAUAGAAGGAGACCCUAAGAACUCAACGUCUUGAAGCCAUAAUGGAAACUUCUUGUGGUUAUUAUCUGACACUUUUCUAAUCUUUUUUCAUUUCAAAUCCUACACAGUAUUCUAAAGAAUCUGUAUCCCCCAUUAGUACCAAAUAUCUCCUGCUCAGAGUAGCUCUCCAUGCUCUAUAGUUCUGACCACUACUACCCGCAUGCUCACGGAGAGUCUCAGGAAAUGAAAGUUACCUCCUGAAAAUUAUUACAAAGAGGCCUUUUAGGAAGGGGGUGUAGCUCAGUGGUAGAGCGGAUGCUUUGCAUGUAUGAGACUUUGGGUUGGAUCCCCAGCACCUCCAAGUGAUGGUUUUACUCUGGCAGUUCUCUGCCUCCUCACAUUUUUCUAUCCUAUUUCUGCACAUAUAGAGAGUAAAAAAUGUACUCCAAUGCAUUGCCUUGAACUAUCCCCAACCUCUAUGCUGUGAGCCUCAACAUCACGUAAGGCGAUUGCGACAGCAGAAGGAAGACAAAAAAGUAACGAGGGGGAAAGAAGAACGGGAUCACAACAGGGGUCUCUUGACCCCAAACAAAUGCAUGCACAGGCGGUUCGCGUUCGCUCCCUUUUAUUUUUUGAGAUGGAGUUUUGCUCUCGUUGCCCAGGCUAGAGUGCAGUGGCGCAAUCUCGGCUCACUGCAACCUCUGCCUUCCGUUUUUAAGCGAUUCUCCUGCCUCAGCCUGCCAAGUAGCUGGGAUUACAGGCGUCCACCACCACGCCCAGCUAAUUUUUUUGUAUUUUUAGUAGAGACGGGGUUUCACCAUGUUGGUCAGGCUGAUCUCAAACUGCUGACCUCGUGAUCCACCCGCCUCUGCCUCCCAAAGUGCUGGGAUUGCAGGCAUGAACCACCGCGCCCGGCCCUCCAUUUUGUACAAUGAUUAAAGAGGCGCAAAGACGAAGAAGGGAGAAAAAUGCCCGUGGGCAUCUUUUUUUCUUUUUAGUUAUCUUUGUUUUCUAGGCAAAAGAGCAGAGUGAAAGCAUCUGUCUGCUGAUUUCUCCACCAGUCUCUCCCUGUCGACCUGCACAGGGACACAAGUGCAAUCCAAUACUGAGACAAGGACUACUGUGGCUCUCUAGUCGCUUGAGAUGGGAGUGGCAGGGCGCUGGAUGGCCGAACGAAGACUGUCGGGGAAUAAGAGGCCUUCAACAUGCGAGAAGCAGAAACCAAUACGGAUCAACAUUCCCUACGGAUAUUCCAUAAGACUGAUUCAUAUUCAUAUUCCUGUAUUUCCUCAGUCCCUCCAAUAUUGCCUGGGAACUUCUGGUAACAGCAAACGGAGGCCCCAUAUGAAAAAAAACAGGAAAAGGUUUUGUCACAAUGGAAAAUACAUGCAGAGUAAAAGGGUAAGAUAUUUCUGAAGGAAAUCAGAAAAGCCCCAAAUCGAGACUUGAUUCUUAUUACUCAUAAGAGAAGACUGAAGCUUUAACAAUUAAUCUGCUUAGAACUGCAAUGUAAACUGCACGCAGCUAUUACCUGAUUUUUAUUUCCACUACUUUUCUUCCAUCACAAGCCCUAUGCAGAAAAAAAAGUGCUCUAUUUCAUGCCAAGGUUACUCAACACCCAGAAGGCAGAACAGCGACCUCUCUCUCUCCAUCUGCAGAAGCCAAGCAAGCGUGUGGGCCUCCGUAUGCAUCCUUUCUUUUAUUCACUUUCUAAAUGCUGUAACGGCUACCAUCUACCAGGUGGUCACAAACCAUCUCUAAAGUCAAUCUGAGGUUAACCCACUCGACUUGUGAGGGAUCCACCUAUACUGCUUCUGCACCUGUAAUAUGACUAAGGAGACGGUGGCUGCACACGUAGUUAACACCGAUUGUACUGUGACUCCGCCUUUCCGCAGCAGCUCUCCGGCUCUUUAGAGUCCUUUUGAGCCAAGCUGGACGUGAGGCAUAAAGGAGCUCUUUGCAAACGCCAGGAGGAAUUUCUUCAGGGUGAAGUUAACUUUCAAUCGGCUUCAUUCUAAGAGAAAUAUGUGAAGCAAACAAACGGGAACUUUUUUUCUCAUCUUUUGCAUUUCAAGCAAAAACUAAUAAAAUUAGAUGUUUCCACCGUCAUGCUCAGUCUCGAAGCUGCCAGCAGAUCCCGCUUCUAACUUUUAACACAGGCACGCAGGAAAUCGGGAAAUCCCUGCAGUUCCCUCAGAAGCUACAGUAUCAGCAGUUCCUGAAGCGCAAACCAAAACCCAACAUCAUGUACCCCUCCAAAGAGCUCAGCCGGUCUGUUGAGGGACGGAAACAGCGGCGAGGUGCUCUGGAAGCCGUGACAGCCUGGCCGAAAUGAACCAGGUCCCUCCUGGUCGAGCCUACCUCCCUAGGGACAAGAAACGUACCUCUCUUCCCUCAUAUCCAGAGGAAGCAAUGGAGGGAUGUGGCGCUUAGACUCACUCUACUAUCCAGUCCAUCGAAGUCCUAAUAAUCUUCAGGAUGCGACAGAGUGAGACUCCGUCUCAACAAAACAAAACAAAAC
rnacentral:tRNA from 1 species